ACCGAAAUAGCUCAGUUGGCAGAGCGUUAGACUAUAGAUCGAAAAGUCCCUGGUUCGAUCCCGGGUUCCGACA
rnacentral:tRNA from 1 species